AGCUAUGUCUGGAAACUGCUUCAAAGCUUCAGCACUGAAUUGGGAGCUGUUUGUCCUUAUGUCCUGUUCUGUUGUUACAACUCCACUUGCGAUUACAGAAGCCUCAGGUUCUGGUAAGUCCAAAGAUUUCACUUCAGGAAGUUGACUAUUUAUUUUGCUUUCGCUCAAGGUGUCAACGUCUGGGAUCAUACCAGCCAAAGCAUACAAGGUUUCAGCCACUUCCUCUUCAUCUUUGGUGAUUGGACAAUCAAGCUCCUCCUUUAUACACCGACUUGAACCACAAUGAGUCAAAUUAAGCUUAGACUUGUUGCCAUAUUUCCUUAGUGUUUCAGCUCCAUCUGACAUGCGAUUCGCCUUUUUGGAAAU
rnacentral:misc_RNA from 1 species